UUAGGGUCAUCCUUGGGGAAGCUAUCCUUUCUAGAUAGUAAUAGUAUAUUUUAUACACUCUAAA
rnacentral:tRNA from 1 species